CCACAUGGUAGACCAGAAACACCUCGAGACCACAUGGUAGACCAGAAACACCUCGAGACCACAUGGUAGACCAGAAACACCUCGAGACCACAUGGUAGACCAGAAAAACCUCGAGACCACAUGGUGGACCAGAAACACCUCGAGACCACAUGGUGGACCAGAAACACCUCGAGACCACAUGGUGGACCAGAAACACCUCGAGACCACAUGGUGGACCAGAAACACCUCGAGACCACAUGGUGAAUCCUCUGUCAGCAGCAUCGUGUUUCUGGUCUGACUGAUUGAUGAGAGCCAAUCAGGAAGCCAAACGUGAGCGUCUGUGUCAUCACGCCACCCCAGAGUUUAAAACCAAAACAGGGUGGUGUUCCUGUACGAGCGCAGCGGGAACUACCUGUGGCACGGAGCGUUACGCCUCAAAGCCAACGUGGACCGAAGCUUCGCUCCUUUCAAGCUGCUGGACUACGGGCGCAACGCCGGGGCGUACGACAGGCCGGAGCUAGUCCUGACGGUCCUGGACGGCCUCGACGUUAGAGUCCCGCGUAAUGUUUCCCGCUUCCUGUCCGAGCAGCGACACGCCCGCUUCCUGGAGUGCCGUUACCGUGACGCCCGCAACUUCCUGCAGGUCAGAAAGCACCCCGGGCUUU